rnacentral:lncRNA from 1 species
CUAUGUAUGGAAAAUUAUAUAGUCCAAAAUGUAAAUAAAACAAAAAAGAUAUUCAUUUCCCAAAUUCUGAGAAACAAUCCUACGUUCUGAUAAAUUGUCUUUCACAUAGCCAUCCUUUGAAGUGUCCGACUUCCAACGUCCAUGACGUUUAAAAAGUCUAUCUGAAAAACCAAACCUUGCAGCGGUAAUAGCACCACAAGAUACUAUAUAAUCCCUAUGCUUUUAUAUCGGGAACAAAUGGAGAAAU